UCACAAGGAUCCUGACCUAUCUGGCAACCCUAAUCAAUUUGCUGGCAGCAUUUCAGUAGCUGUGUCCAAACAUCUCUAUUACCCUACUAUACAAUACACUAAAAGUAGUACGCUAAAGGAGUAAUAUGUCUGAAUUCUCGGUAUUCAUGAAACAGUAGGUGAGAAAUACCCGGAUGACCUACUGCUUCUGCCGAGAUUCUGCAGUAUGGAACCAGUGGACACUGCGCUAUCCCAUAAGGCAACAGGACUGGUGUGGAAGAGCUGUCAGAAGCAAAAAUGGCAGAAGGCAGCGCAUCGGCUCUUUUUAAGUACCGGCGCCCCAUCCCGGGUGUAGACCACCUCAUGUCCAGUACUACUGAAACAGGCUCCAGAUCCCCGCGACCCUGACCAGGAUAAAGCGCUAAUGAAGAUGAAUAGUGAUGAUGAACGUGAAUGUGAGGCUCUUCAGCAGACAGCCUUUAAGAAUGCCUUUAACAAAAGAAGAACGUAUUGAAAUCAUUCUCAUGGCCGGAUCGGGAAGCUGUCUCAAGGUUGCGAUGGACAUGCAGUUCCAUGCACAACACCAGAUGUGCUAACACCAGUUCAUCAUGAGUGACGACUCCGUGUGUUCAUGAAGAAAUGGUGAUCAUGUAGAGGAUGUUUUGUAAAUAAAGUUACAAUCUGCUAAAAAGUGUUAAUUCCCCCAUUUAUGGAGACUUUUGAGAGACUCUGUGUACUUAAUUAAAUUUACUACGAUUUUUUGUGUAGAUAUUGUUACCACACUUUUCUUGAGUAAAUUUCACACUAAUGUUUUUCAUUGAAAGUGGAAUUGAGGACUUAAAGGUUUUAUCUGCAGCCAGCUUCCUCUCAGAGUAACUUUCACACCCUCAAAACUUACUGUCAUGGGAAAAAGAAAGUACACCCUCCUUCAAUUCGAUGUUUUUAUUUAUCAGGGCCUAAACAACAAUAGUUUGUUCCUCACCAACUUCUAUAUGCAAAUAACCUCAGGUGACGACAAAAACAACAGAUUUCAAUAUGUAGCCAUUUUUUCCCAAAAAGUAAACCAACAUCCAACAUUCCGAAACCAGGUGGGGAAAAAGUAUGUACACCUUUCCAACUUCCACAGUCAUUAAGAGAGUAAUUAGCAGCCGGGUGUUACUAAUGAAAUACACAAAGUUACCUCAACCUACUACCACUACCUCUACAAAAGCAGAACUUUUAGCAGUUUGGUGUUCUGGAGCACUCAGGUGUGUGUCUGCAUCAUGCAAAGAACAUCAGCCAUGACCUGAGAGAAACAAUUUCUGCUGCUCAGCAAUAUGGGAAGGGUUAUAAGGCCAUCUCCAAACAAUUUGAUAUUCACCAUCUACAGUGAGAAGGACUGUUUACAAAUGGAGAGCCUUCAGUACACUUGCUGAUCUUCCCAGGAGUGAGCAUCCCUGCAAAUUCAGUCCAAGCUCAGACCAUUUAAUACUCAGAGAUAUAAAGAAAAACACAAGAGCUACACUAUGUGACCUACAGGAUUCUGUAGGUACAUUACGUGCUUAUGUUUAUCGACAACUGAACGGCUAAAGACAAAAAAAAAUCAAGGUGUUGGAAUGGCCAAGUUCAAGUCCAGACUCAACCCCACUGAGAUGCCGUGGUGGGAUCUUCAGAGAGCUGUGCAUACAAGUUAUUGUUGCUAAAGGUGGUUCUACAUGUUACUGAAUUACAGGGUGUACUUAUUUUUUCCCCAUCUGGUUUCUGUUGGUUUACUUUUUGGGAAAAAUGACUACAUAUUGAAAUCUGUUGUGUUGUUUGUUGUCACCUGAGGUUAUUUGUUUGUGUAUUGAAGUUGGUGAGGAUUACACUAUUGUUAUUUAAGCCCUGAUAAAUAAAAGCAUAGAAUUGAAGGAGGAGGUACUUUCUUUUUCUCGUGAAUGCAUAUCAUUUCCUGACAAACCAACCCAGGUGGAAUAAGCCAUGUGUUUCAGUUCUCAUAUAGUUCUUUUAUCACAAGAGCCCAAGUUUCU